rnacentral:rRNA from 1 species
GAUGAACGCUGGCGGCGUGCCUAAUACAUGCAAGUCGAGCGAACGGACGAGAAGCUUGCUUCUCUGAUGUUAGCGGCGGACGGGUGAGUAACACGUGGAUAACCUACCUAUAAGACUGGGAUAACUUCGGGAAACCGGAGCUAAUACCGGAUAAUAUUUUGAACCGCAUGGUUCAAAAGUGAAAGACGGUCUUGCUGUCACUUAUAGAUGGAUCCGCGCUGCAUUAGCUAGUUGGUAAGGUAACGGCUUACCAAGGCAACGAUGCAUAGCCGACCUGAGAGGGUGAUCGGCCACACUGGAACUGAGACACGGUCCAGACUCCUACGGGAGGCAGCAGUAGGGAAUCUUCCCCGCAUGGGCGAAGCCUGACGGAGCAACGCCGCGUGAGUGAUGAAAGUCUUCGGAUCGUNAAACUCUGUUAUUAGGGAAGACAUAUGUGUAAGUAACUGUGCACAUCUUGACNGUACCUAAUCAGAAAGCACGGGCUACUACGUGCCAGCAGCCGCGGUAUACGUAGGUGGCAGCGUAUUCGGAAUUAUGGGGCGUAAGCGCGCGUAGGCGGUUUUUUAGUCUGAUGUGAAAGCCCACGGCUCAACCGUGGAGGGUCAUUGGAAACUGGAAAACUUGAGUGCAGAAGAGGAAAGUGGAAUUCCAUGUGUAGCGGUGAAAUGCGCAGAGAUAUGGAGGAACACCAGUGGCGAAGGCGACUUUCUGGUCUGUAACUGACGCUGAUGUGCGAAAGCGUGGGGAUCAAACAGGAUUAGAUACCCUGGUAGUCCACGCCGUAAACGAUGAGUGCUAAGUGUUAGGGGGUUUCCGCCCCUUAGUGCUGCAGCUAACGCAUUAAGCACUCCGCCUGGGGAGUACGACCGCAAGGUUGAAACUCAAAGGAAUUGACGGGGACCCGCACAAGCGGUGGAGCAUGUGGUUUAAUUCGAAGCAACGCGAAGAACUUUACCAAAUCUUGACAUCCUUUGACAACUCUAGAGAUAGAGCCUUCCCCUUCGGGGGACAAAGUGACAGGUGGUGCAUGGUUGUCGUCAGCUCGUGUCGUGAGAUGUUGGGUUAAGUCCCGCAACGAGCGCAACCCUUAAGCUUAGUUGCCAUCAUUAAGUUGGGCACUCUAAGUUGACUGCCGGUGACAAACCGGAGGAAGGUGGGGAUGACGUCAAAUCAUCAUGCCCCUUAUGAUUUGGGCUACACACGUGCUACAAUGGACAAUACAAAGGGCAGCGAAACCGCGAGGUCAAGCAAAUCCCAUAAAGUUGUUCUCAGUUCGGAUUGUAGUCUGCAACUCGACUACAUGAAGCUGGAAUCGCUAGUAAUCGUAGAUCAGCAUGCUACGGUGAAUACGUUCCCGGGUCU